AACGAACGCUGGCGGCAUGCCUAACACAUGCAAGUCGAACGGAUCCUUCGGGAUUAGUGGCGGACGGGUGAGUAACGCGUGGGAACAUACCCUUUGGUACGGAAUAGCCUCGGGAAACUGGGAGUAAUACCGUAUGUGGUCGAGAGACGAAAGAUUUAUCGCCAAAGGAUUGGCCCGCGUUGGAUUAGGUAGUUGGUGGGGUAAUGGCCUACCAAGCCGACGACCCAUAGCUGGUUUGAGAGGAUGAUCAGCCACACUGGGACUGAGACACGGCCCAGACUCCUACGGGAGGCAGCAGUGGGGAAUCUUAGACAAUGGGGGAAACCCUGAUCUAGCCAUGCCGCGUGAUCGAUGAAGGCCUUAGGGCUGUAAAGAUCUUUCAGGUGGGAAGAUAAUGACUGUACCACCAGAAGAAGCCCCGGCUAACUCCGUGCCAGCCGCCGCAGUAA
rnacentral:rRNA from 1 species